rnacentral:sRNA from 1 species
GUUUAUUCAUCUAUAUU